rnacentral:rRNA from 1 species
UACGUAGGUGGCAAGCGUUGUCCGGAUUUAUUGGGUUUAAAGGGUGCGUAGGCGGCGCAGUAAGUCAGGAGUGAAAGUUUGCGGCUCAACCGUAAAAUUGCUUUUGAUACUGCUGUGCUAGAAUUAGGAUGAGGUCAGCGGAAUGUGGCAUGUAGCGGUGAAAUGCAUAGAUAUGCCAUAGAACACCAAUUGCGAAGGCAGCUGGCUAGACCUAUAUUGACGCUGAGGCACGAAAGCGUGGGGAGCGAACAGG